ACUUACGGCCAUACCAUCCUGAAUACGCCCGAUCUCGUCUGAUCUCGGAAGCUAAGCAGGGUCGGGCCUGGUUAUUACUUUGAUGGGAGACUGCCUGGGAAUACCAGGUGCUGUAAGUG
rnacentral:rRNA from 1 species